ACUGUCGUCCGUAGAAGUACAUAGAAUGUUGCAAAAGCGCCAGCAGAAAAAAGGAGAGUCGCUUUAGAAAUUGCAGCAACGAGAAUCGUCAUUCAUCUGUCAAUACAAAUACGCAAAGCAAACAAUUUUUUAAAACUCAGUAUAGUGUGAAACUGUUAUCAAAAUAAGACGUAACACGAGUGGUGGUACUUUUGUAAGAUAUUUUUACAGGAAAAUGGGUAAAAUUCAGUAAAAAAUAGAUAAAUACAAAGUUCCCCAAUAUAUUUUCGGCGGCUUGCUCAUUCCCAUCAUUCGCAAUCAGAAGUCAUUUAACAGGCCACCACUCUUUGGCAAUCUUUCCUUAUUUCCAGCCGUAAUGCACAUAUCCGAAGAAGGCGCCAAGAGAUAGGCACCGCCCAGCAAUAGCGAAGAAUGAAAAUACAUUGACGAUUUAUU